rnacentral:rRNA from 1 species
GAUGAACGCUAGCGGCAGGCCUAACACAUGCAAGUCGAGGGGUAACUAGAGUGAUAGCAAUAUUACUUUGGCUAGACCGGCGCACGGGUGCGUAACACGUAUGCAACCUACCUUAUACUGGGGAAUAACUUCGAGAAAUCGGCGCUAAUACCCCAUAACAUUGCGAAGAGGCAUCUCUUUGCAAUUAAAGCUCCGGCGGUAUAAGAUGGGCAUGCGUCCAAUUAGCUAGUUGGUGAGGUAACGGCUCACCAAGGCUACGAUUGGUAGGGGUUCUGAGAGGAUGAUCCCCCACACUGGUACUGAGACACGGACCAGACUCCUACGGGGGGCAGCAGUGAGGAAUAUUGCGCAAUGGACGAAAGUCUGACGCAGCCAUGCCGCGUGCAGGAUGACGGCCCUAUGGGUUGUAAACUGCUUUUGUACGGGAAUAAACCCUUCUACGUGUAGGAGGCUGAAGGUACCGUAAGAAUAAGCACCGGCUAACUCUGUGCCAGCCGCCGCGGUAA